CGCCAACCUACGACGGCCCGAUUCGCCUGCGUCAGGGGCUGGGACAGUCGAAGAACGUGGUGAUGGUGCGUGCGAUGCGUGCGAUGGGUGUC
rnacentral:tRNA from 1 species